UCCCCCUCCCUGAAAGGAGCCCCCAACGCCCACAGCCAUCUCAUGAGCCAAUCAUUUCACUUUCAAGUGAACUGAGGAGGCGGAGGGGUGAGGCUGAGUCACCCCGCCCGACAGAUGUCCUCUCUGGAGCGCCCACACAGCCCCACCACGUAGCUUCUCUGCUUUGGGCCAACGACGUUCUGCCUGGUAGAUCUGCUGCUGUUGUGCCCUUAUUCUGAGUGCAGGCCUUUCCUACACUCUGGAGCCUGAUGGAGCCUCCAAAGGCCAGCCCGUCCUCCUGGGCCUGAGAUGUGAGCAGUGAGAAUGGGAAUGGGCCGGCCCGCCUGGUCAGUGUUCCUUCCAGCCCUGUACUUCCUACUGCUCUCCUGAACUUCACGCGGCCUCCGGGAACACGGCUUUGCCUCCCGUCUGAGCCCCCAGUGAGAUGAAAACCAUGGAAGAAACCUGAAAAUGGAUAGGAUGCAGAGACAAGAAGCAAGAAACCCGGGCGGGUCACAGAGAGGGAAUGAUGACCCCCGGAGGCAGCUGGGAAGACACAUGGACAGAGCACAGUGGGUGUCGGGACUGGAGCGUGAGCUCUCUGGGCCUGCCACUGUUCGAGGCCAACGUCAGCAGCACGAGCUUCUGGUCUUCCUUCUCUCCCCAAAAUACACCUCGGGGGUCACUCCAGCUAAUCUCCUCCAAAGGUUCACAGCUGAGCCAGGUAGAGAGCACAGUCACGCUCACAUCUGACCAAUGGCUUGCCACCCCUCCCUCAUCUGACUCACACCCACGGGUCCUCCAUGUUCCCCAAAGGCCUGUUCACCCAACACUCAGAACAGAUGCAUUUUAUCAGAGGACCACCGGACGGACCCCUCAGGCAAGUCCAUACAGAGACAGAGGCCCUUGUCCCAAAACAAGACAAAGCCCCAUCCGUGCACCCUUGGGACCCAGCAAUAGUGGGGUAAAAGGUAAUGAUAAAUGUUGGAACCGCACAGCUCCUUCCCCACCUCUCCCCAGGAACAGGCACCCAGCACAGAGGGUCACCGCCUCCGCUGACCAUCCCCUUGGCAGUAUGGAUGAUGGCAGAGACGUUGGCCAACUCCGGAGGUGGGCAGCCCCCCUCCCUGGGUGAGCCCUGGGCCAUGCCUCUGCCACCCACCUUGGGUGAUGCGGGGGGACUAGACUUUCGUGGCUGGGUAUACUGUAGAUUUUUGAUUUUGAAGAAACAAGUGGAACUGUA